rnacentral:rRNA from 1 species
UCCUGGCUCAGAUUGAACGCUGGCGGCAGGCCUAACACAUGCAAGUCGAGCGGUAGCACAGGAGAGCUUGCUCUCUGGGUGACGAGCGGCGGACGGGUGAGUAAUGUCUGGGAAACUGCCUGAUGGAGGGGGAUAACUACUGGAAACGGUAGCUAAUACCGCAUGACCUCGCAAGAGCAAAGUGGGGGACCUUCGGGCCUCACGCCAUCGGAUGUGCCCAGAUGGGAUUAGCUAGUAGGUGGGGUAAUGGCUCACCUAGGCGACGAUCCCUAGCUGGUUAGAGAGGAGGUCCAGCCACACUGGAACUGAGACACGGUCCAGACUCCUACGGGAGGCAGCAGUGGGGAAUAUUGCACAAUGGGCGCAAGCCUGAUGCAGCCAUGCCGCGUGUGUGAAGAAGGCCUUAGGGUUGUAAAGCACUUUCAGCGAGGAGGAAGGCGUUGUAGUUAAUAGCUGCAGCGAUUGACGUACUCGCAGAA